rnacentral:rRNA from 1 species
GUGCCAGCAGCCGCGGUAAUACGUAGGGGGCAAGCGUUAUCCGGAUUCAUUGGGCGUAAAGAGCGCGUAGGCGGCUUGUUAAGCGAGAUGUGAAAACCGGGGGCUUAACCCGCGGCCUGCAUCUCGAACUGGCAGGCUUGAGUCUGGUAGAGGAGUGUGGAAUUCCCAGUGUAGCGGUGAAAUGCGCAGAUAUUGGGAGGAACACCAGUGGCGAAGGCGGCACUCUGGGCCACGACUGACGCUGAGGCGCGAAAGCUAGGGGAGCAAACAGGAUUAGAAACCCCCGUAGUCC